AGCAGAGCAUUGGGUCUAAAGUGUGCGCAGGCGGUUUUGUAAGACAGGCGUGAAAUCCCCGGGCUCAACCUGGGAAUGGCGCUUGUGACUGCAAAGCUGGAGUGCGGCAGAGGGGGAUGGAAUUCCGCGUGUAGCAGUGAAAUGCGUAGAUAUGCGGAGGAACACCGAUGGCGAAGGCAAUCCCCUGGGCCUGCACUGACGCUCAUGCACGAAAGCGUGGGGAGCAAACAGGAUUAGAUACCCUGGUAGUCCACGCCCUAAACGAUGUCAACUGGUUGUUGGGUCUCUUCUGACUCAGUAACGAAGCUAACGCGUGAAGUUGACCGCCUGGGGAGUACGGCCGCAAGGUUGAAACUAAAAAAUUGACG
rnacentral:rRNA from 1 species